UCCUAAACCUGACAGCAGCGACAGCCUCCGAUUUAAGCACUAUUUUGCGCUUUUUAUGGUGUGCUUGCUAGUUUCACAGGUUUCUAUCGGAGCUAUAGCGAAUGGCAGGACUGCAA
rnacentral:sRNA from 1 species